CCGAGUCUUAAUUGGGCGUUAAGUUGCAGGGUAUAGACCCGAAACCCGGUGAUCUAGCCAUGGGCAGGUUGAAGGUUGGGUAACACUAACUGGAGGACCGAACCGACUAAUGUUGAAAAAUUAGCGGAUGACCUGUGGCUGGGGGUGAAAGGCCAAUCAAACCGGGAGAUAGCUGGUUCUCCCCGAAAGCUAUUUAGGUAGCGCCUCGUGAAUUCAUCUCCGGGGGUAGAGCACUGUUUCGGCUAGGGGGCCAUCCCGGCUUACCAACCCGAUGCAAACUGCGAAUACCGGAGAAUGUUAUCACGGGAGACACACGGCGGGUGCUAACGUCCGUCGUGAAGAGGGAAACAACCCAGACCGCCAGCUAAGGUCCCAAAGUCAUGGUUAAGUGGGAAACGAUGUGGGAAGGCCCAGACAGCCAGGAUGUUGGCUUAGAAGCAGCCAUCAUUUAAAGAAAGCGUAAUAGCUCACUGGUCGAGUCGGCCUGCGCGGAAGAUGUAACGGGGCUAAACCAUGCACCGAAGCUGCGGCAGCGACACUGUGUGUUGUUGGGUAGGGGAGCGUUCUGUAAGCCUGUGAAGGUGGCCUGUGAGGGUUGCUGGAGGUAUCAGAAGUGCGAAUGCUGACAUAAGUAACGAUAAAGCGGGUGAAAAGCCCGCUCGCCGGAAGACCAAGGGUUCCUGUCCAACGUUAAUCGGGGCAGGGUGAGUCGACCCCUAAGGCGAGGCCGA
rnacentral:rRNA from 1 species